rnacentral:rRNA from 1 species
GACGAACGCUGGCGGCGUGCUUAACACAUGCAAGUCGAACGGUGAAAGUGGAGCUUGCUCCGCUGGAUCAGUGGCGAACGGGUGAGUAACACGUGGGCAACCUGCCCCUGACUUCGGGAUAACUCCUCGAAAGAGGUGCUAAUACCGGAUACGAAUCCUGCAGGCAUCUGCGGGAUUGGAAAGUUUUUCGGUCAGGGAUGGGCCCGCGGCCUAUCAGCUUGUUGGUGAGGUAGUGGCUCUCCAAGGCGACGACGGGUAGCCGGCCUGAGAGGGCGACCGGCCACACUGGGACUGAGACACGGCCCAGACUCCUACGGGAGGCAGCAGUGGGGAAUAUUGCGCAAUGGGCGAAAGCCUGACGCAGCAACGCCACGUGAGGGAUGACGGCCUUCGGGUUGUAAACCUCUUUCAGCAGGGAAGAAGCAAAAGUGACGGUACCUGCAGAAGAAGCACCGGCUAACUACGUGCCAGCCGCCGCCGUAA